GUGGGGAAUAUUGGGCAAUGGACGCAAGUCUGACCCAGCAACGCCGCGUGAAGGAAGAAGGCUUUCGGGUUGUAAACUUCUUUUAAGGGGGAACAGUAGAAGAGGGUACCCCUUGAAUAAGCCACGGCUAACUACGUGCCAGCAGCCGCGGUAAUACGUAGGUGGCAAGCGUUGUCCGGAUUUACUGGGUGUAAAGGGCGUGCAGCCGGAGAGACAAGUCAGAUGUGAAAUCCGCGGGCUUAACCCGCGAACUGCAUUUGAAACUGUUUCCCUUGAGUAUCGGAGAGGUAAUCGGAAUUCCUAGUGUAGCGGUGAAAUGCGUAGAUAUUAGGAAGAACACCAGUGGCGAAGGCGGAUUACUGGACGACAACUGACGGUGAGGCGCGAAAGCGUGGGGAGCAAACAGGAUUAGAAACCCUAGUAGUCC
rnacentral:rRNA from 1 species